GACGAACGCUGGCGGCGUGCUUAACACAUGCAAGUCGAACGGAAAGGCCCUGCUUUUGUGGGGUGCUCGAGUGGCGAACGGGUGAGUAACACGUGAGUAACCUGCCCUUGACUUUGGGAUAACUUCAGGAAACUGGGGCUAAUACCGGAUAGGAGCUCCUGCUGCAUGGUGGGGGUUGGAAAGUUUCGGCGGUUGGGGAUGGACUCGCGGCUUAUCAGCUUGUUGGUGGGGUAGUGGCUUACCAAGGCUUUGACGGGUAGCCGGCCUGAGAGGGUGACCGGCCACAUUGGGACUGAGGUACGGCCCAGACUCCUACGGGAGGCAGCAGUGGGGAAUAUUGCAAAAUGGGCGGAAGCCUGAUGCAGCAACGCCGCGUGCGGGAUGACGGCCUUCGGGUUGUAAACCGCUUUCGCCUGUGACGAAGCGUGAGUGACGGUAAUGGGUAAAGAAGCACCGGCUAACUACGUG
rnacentral:rRNA from 1 species